rnacentral:sRNA from 1 species
UACUUCCGGACCAGAGGUUGCUGGGCAACAAGAGUAGCGUCGCAGCUCUCUCUGGCGGCGGAAAUCAGCAAUUGCCUUAAUGCUCAGCACCUACAGAUCCUUUCCAGAAAGUAGGCAGAGUAACAAGGAGGAAGGAGCUGGGGUCUGAGAACCAAAUCAUAAAAGCGAGUUUCAAAACUACAAAGAUGCUUCACGGGUGCUGGGAAUUGGCUCCAGGACCUUGUACAUGAGAGGUAAAUGCUAUACCACUAUUUCCAAAAGUAGAUUCUAAUUCAUCAAGUCACAAGAGUGGUUUGAAAUCCCAGAAGACUUCCAUUCAUAGUGAACUGCAUACACCUUCACAUCAGUAAAUGGCCAGGAGAGAAAGUUAGAAAAGAAAAUCAACCGAAAUUGCAAUCCGUCAAAUAAGCCUAUUCUUCCACAGCUACAUCAAAUAUGGAGUCUGGGUAAACGAAAUAAUACAAAUGGACCACAUCACACACUGUAUGUUUUUUUCUUUGUGUGUAUGUGUGAAUAUGUUACGUUUUUAUUUUUCACAAAGGACAUGGCAGUAAUACAAUAGUGACAGAGUAGUAGACAGACAAUCUCAUAGAGAAGCCCAUAUCAUACUGAUCUCUAAGAAAGAAUAUUAA